UACGUAGGGUGCAAGCGUUGUCCGGAAUUAUUGGGCGUAAAGAGCUCGUAGGCGGUCUGUCGCGUCGGCUGUGAAAACUCGGGGCUCAACCCCGAGCCUGCAGUCGAUACGGGCAGACUAGAGUGCGGUAGGGGGGACUGGAAUUCCGGGUGUAGUGGUGAAAUGCGUAGAGAUCCGGAGGAACCCCAGAGGCGAAGGCGGCGCCCUGGCUCGCAACUGACGCUCAGACACGACAGCAUGGGGAGCGAACGGG
rnacentral:rRNA from 1 species